rnacentral:sRNA from 1 species
GUCAUGUUGGCAAGAGCUGGGUCUGGGACCCUGGGGUGGGGACUGGAGGGUUGAGCAGGUCGGGGCCUCAGCCUCCCUCCGGUUCCCCAGGGAGGUCUGUUCCAUCCGCUUCCUGUUCACGGCUGUGUCGCUGCUGAGCCUCUUUCUGUCAGGAACCUAAGGAGAUGCUGACUCUAAGAGAGUGGCCAAGCUCGUGUUCCAGAGGCUGAAUGAGGAUUUUGUGCGGAAGCCCGACUAUGCUUUGAGCUCUGUGGGAGCCUCCAUCGACCUGCAGAAGACAUCCCACGAUUACGCAGACAGGAACACUGCCUACUUCUGGAAUCGCUUCAGCUUCUGGAACUACGCACGGCCGCCCACGGUUAUCCUGGAGCCCCACGUGUUCCCUGGGAAUUGCUGGGCUUUUGAAGGCGACCAAGGCCAGGUGGUGAUCCAACUGCCGGGCCGAGUGCAGCUGAGCGACAUCACUCUGCAGCAUCCACCGCCCAGCGUGGAGCACACCGGAGGAGCCAACAGCGCCCCCCGCGAUUUCGCGGUCUUUGGCCUCCAGGUUUAUGAUGAAACUGAAGUUUCCUUGGGGAAAUUCACCUUCGAUGUUGAGAAAUCGGAGAUUCAGACUUUCCACCUGCAGAAUGACCCCCCAGCUGCCUUUCCCAAGGUGAAGAUCCAGAUUCUAAGCAACUGGGGCCA